GUGACAGCAUUACAGUCCUACGCUACUGAAUUGUAUGAAAAAAAAUGACUUAUGACCAUAAAACAUGGGAGCAGAAUUAGGCCUUGGCCAAUCAAGUCUGCUCUGCCAUUUCAUCAUGGCUGAUUUAUUAUCACUCUUAACCCCAUCACCUUUGAUGCUUUUGCCAAUCAAGAAACCAUCAACCUCCACUUUAAAUAUACCCGAUAACUUAGCCUCCACAGCCAUGAAUGGGAAAUUGAUUUUGCACUUACAGUUCAAGAUAGCAAACCACAGUAGCUUAUCUUAAACUUGAAAGGUCAUGGCUAAAUAAUUCACAAUACUUAAAAUAUCCUCACAAAUCAUAAAUAUGUUAAGAAUAAAAAUAUAUCUAAAUAGGCAAGGGAUGACAAUUUUUACAUUCUGCAAGACAGAAGAGAGAGAAACACGAGUUAACAUUUCUCAUCCGUGACCUUUCAUCAUAAAUAAGAUAAAUAAGCUUUAGUAUGUAUAGCGUGGUAGUGAUGUUGGUUAGGGGUUGCGAGAAAGUGGAAGACAGCUGUGAUUAAAUGGCAAGAGGGUGAUAGUGCAAAGUGAAAGGGUGAUAGGACAAGAACCAAUUAACCUGACCUGCCAUCUAAUCACCACUCGCUAGUUAGACUAGUGGCCACACCAGUUAGGCUUGAGGUGAGUGGAAAACAAUUCACCUCAACUCGGAACUGAUUCCACAACCUAUGGACUUACUUUUAAGGACUCAUGACCUCAAUAUAAUUUAUUUACUUAUUUAUUUUUUUAUUUGCAUGGGUCAUUUUCUUUUGCACAUUGGUUGUCACUCUUUGUUUUUAAUUGAUUCUAUUGCAUUUUUCUCUGUUCUGCUGUGAAUGCCUGCAAGAAAAUAAAUUUAUUUUGACUUUGACCUGAUGUUUACUCACACUCAUUAAUUAGGCUGUCCAGGAAAUAUCAGUGAUCCUGCUGAUCUCCUGAUGAAAUUCACCAAUACAGAGCCUAUGGCAAAUUGUAUAUCAAGUUGGUCACACUAUUGAGUAGGGGAAGUCACGCAAGCCUUGCUGAUGAUGCAACUUCCUUCACUUCAUAAGUGAUUGGUUAAAAAAAACAUGUACAAACAUUUCUUGGUUGUGUCUUAUUUGGGGCUGGAUGAUGGGAGGGAGAAGAGAGCAGGCUCAUGAAAACUUUUCAAAAAAAUGGGGACAUAGUCAAGAAACAUUACAGGGAAUUUCAUGUCAAUCAUACAGGAAAACAGGAAUUUUAAAAUAAAUUAAGAUAUGAAAAAUUAGGGCCAAUGUUUGCCUUAAUUUAAUUAUUGGGUAGUUUUCUUGGGCAAAUGAUAUUCAGAAAAUUCACUUUCAGUCAUUAAUCCGAAUGCUUCCCAGAAUCCCUCACACACAGAGAACUUCAACUAUCAGUAACGCAGUUAGUACAAAAAAAAAUCACAGUCUGGCUGCUGAUGCAAAAAAAAAAGCACAUAACAGGGGAUUCUAGUUCCCAGAGACAUGGCAAAGAGCUAGCCUAGUUGGAACAUGGGCAACACACAUAAAAAAUGCAGCAGGCCAGGCAGCAUCUAUGGGAAGAGGUACAUAAGUGGCCGGCUUGGUAUGAGGUUCAAGCACAGUUAUUAUCCUUCAACCAUUCGGCUCCUGAACCAACAUGAAUAACUUAAUUCACCUUAACUUUGAACUGAUUUCACUAUCUAUGGAUUCACUUUAAGGACCUUACAACUUAGUAUUAUUUAUAUAUUUUUUUAUUUGGCACACUGUCUUCUCCUCCAAAUUGGUUGUUUGUCAGUCUUUCCUCAUCUGUAGUUUUCCCAUUGACUAUUAUAUUUCUCUGUUCUACUGUGAAUACCUAUAAGAAAAUGAAUCUCAAGGUGGUAUACGGUGACAUAUACAUGCUUGGAUAAUCUUAUUUUGAGCUUGGAAUUCACUCCACAGGUAGUUCCACCUUCAAAGUGGAAACUAAGACAAGUGGCAGCUGUUGCUCCUAUAACUGUCAGCUGAUGGGAUAGACCUGGACCCCCAAAAAAAGGAUCUUUACCACUGAAUGGCGGGAAGCAGAAUCUCAACCUAAAUUUAGUGAAAAUACUGGGGAUGCUAGCAAUCUGAAAUUAAAACUGUAACGCUCAUUUUCUGAUAUUUCAACAACCCUUGUGGUGGACAUAAUACCUGCCUUCUUGCAUGCAGAUUUAGGCAAUUACUUAACCACACACAUAUAUACAAUUAAUCUUCAGUUACAUUUUUGCAGUUUACCAAAUCAUAGGUUUCACUAAUUGAUGCAAUUUCUUCACAAGACAAACUGGAAGGACAAAAUCCUCUUGUAAAUUACUUAGAAUAUAAAGUCACAAAGUAAUACAGCAUGGCAAAAGGCCCUUCAGUCCAACUGAUCUACACCAAAUAUGCUGCCCACUAAGCUAGUUCUGAGCUACUCCUUUCAAUGUACUUAUCGAAAAGUCUUUGAAAUAUUAUUCCAUCUGUUAUGCACCGCCCUCUGCAUGAAGUUACCGAUCAAAUCCCUUGUAAAUCUUUCACCUCUCUCUCCGUAAACCCAUGACCUCUAGCUUUUAGUUCCACUAACCUGGGGGGGGGGAGAAACAGUGCUCACCACUCAUGAUUUAAAUACCCAAGUGGUGAGAAGAGCUUGUUCCUAUGCUACACUGUUCUAGGUUAUAUAAAGUCACUUCUUAAUCUACUACCUUCCAAGUGAUAUGGGUCCCAACAGCUAGGAUAUUACGAAGUUUAUUAUUAGGCAUAAAUUAUCUACAAUUUGUUUAACCAAAAGAAAAAAGCAAGAAUGACCAAGAGCUUGAAAAUAAAUACUACGGUAACCAUAUCUUAAUCUAUUGGUAUCUCCCCACAUCAUGAUCAUUAAUGACUCUCAAUGCUUGCAUUCCUAUCAACUUAUGCAUGUCUAAAAUGUUUUAAUAAGCUAGGACUACCCAAAUGAUUUAUAAUCACUCAUUAAUUUGCUUGGUCCAUUACAGAGACAAUUUCUAUCAUAAAUGCAGUAACCAAUGUUUUCAUUUGGCCUUCAAAAUAUCGUUUUAAUCACUUUACUGAAGUUAAAUUGCAUGUAGUAAGUUCAUUCAGUGAUUAUUACUUUGUUUGGCCCAAAGGCAGUGACAGUGUUCCAUCUCAACAACUCAUUGCAAACAGAUAUGAAAGAUUUAAAACACUGAAAAAUAAAAUAAGGAUUUUAAUUAUGAACCUAAGAAUCCAAAUGAUAUGCACCACUUACAAAAAUGUCAAUAGUUCCUAAAAUAUAGAAGCAGCAUAGCCAAAUUAGCAUAAAGAUACUUACCAAGACCAAUUAUGCUUAAAUUACAAUUCUAGUUUCAGCUAAAUUCAAAUUAUAGAGAGACCAUUUAAUAUGCUGCUGAAGUAAAUUUAUACAAAACAUACUUAUUUCUGAAACACCCUUGCUGCCUCAACGAAGUUAAAUUGGAGUUAGCCAUAUUUGGUUAGUGAACAUUAAGACUCCAAAUAAUCCCUUCAACAUCUGAUGCUUAAAUAUGGAUUUUAAUUCCCAACAUAAAAUGUGAUGUUUUGUAGAAUGGAGCAAAGCAAGAUAAACAUUUAAAUUUGAGCAACAAGCAUAGCAUAUAACCAACAGCUCAAUAGGAAAUCUGAACUACUUUUCUAUGCUUGAAAACAGGAGCAUCAAAUUUGUCCACAGAAGACCAAGUAGCAACAAAUAAAGCCCCUACAGUACAUGGAGUAGAAUGGAAUAUCCAAUUCAGGAUUUCAAACUAUAGGAGCAAAGCUCAACCAUUGCCAUCAGCUGGUAUUAAUAUGAAGAUUUGUUAAAUGAUGUGCUACAUUACUAAAGUCUCAUAACUUAAUAGUGGGGAUUUACAAUUAAAUUUUGCAGUAUUUUUAUGAAUAGCAAAACUUCAACAAAAUAAAGGAUGACAUCAAUGUAUCAAACUAAAUAAGAACAUUUCUUCACAGGCUAUUAUGAAUAUGACUAAUAUGGGAGCACUGGAAACAAUAAACAGAACUUAUUUUGUCCUUCCCCUUCUUGACCAGGCUGACACCACCCUUUUCUUACAAAGAACACCAUAAGUCAAGGUGGCAGUAUAAUUAGAGAUCCCUUUCUUGCCUAGCCCAGCAGCUCUUCACAUUGAUAUAGCCUCUGGAUAGCUGGAAAUUACUUAACAAUCUAUCAAUCCAGUUGAAUUGCAGAAUCAGUAGUACAAUGCCAUUCUUCCAACUUGGACUACUAACAUGGGCAUUUUGAGUUGUGGAACAUAGAUAUGAAAUACUGAUUCUAAACGCAAUACAAGAUGAAAACUAUUGUGCAAUCAUUAAAUCUUUCUUGUAGCUUAGGAAAACUUAUUUGAGAAACACACAAAAUAGAUUGCUCUUCUAACAUUAUCAGGUCAUUUUAUCUCAACUCAAAGCAUUGGAUAAUAUUCAUAAUUAUACAUAUUUAUUUUCUAUAAUGAGAGUUAAAGGCAUUCAGCUGCUGAAUGUUAGUUGCACUUAAAAGAAACAUUGCAAAGCCUAUAACUAAAGAUUUCACUGCGCCCAAGAUACAACGAAAACUAACGCCUUUGGUAUCAAUGGAGUCCAAAUGAUCAUGUUACACGCUAAACAAGUCCAACGAUUUGAACAUGAUACCAAUUUUAGUAAAUUCUUUCAAUAUACAUUUCUAGAUCAGAUUGAAUAAACUACAAAAACCUUGCCUUCAUAGAGGAUUCUCCAGAAAGCUUUUAAAAAUAUACACAGUAUUCAUAUACUGUACUUAUGCAACUCAUUCACCCCUCCCCCUUCAACAUAUCAUCAAGGCAACAGUGAAUUCUGCCAGUUUGUAAAAUGUCAUUUCUGCAGCGUUGAAAUUUUUUCAGGACUAGUUACCACAACAAAGUGUACGGAAUGCAAUGCUCACUAACUCACUUGCGGUCGAACUAUCAUUCCUAAUCCUAGGAAGUGAAUACUACAGACCAUUAUAUUCGUUGUGCGGCUUUCUUAAAAAAAACAAAUGUCGGAAACAAUUAGCCGCUGGUUGAGUAGGCCUGAACAACAUCAGUGGAAUAUAUUCUUAAAAAUACAGAAUCGUUUAUUGAUUAUCCUGAGCAUUGCUUGACAUGUCCGAUUUUCAUCUGUGUUGACAUCUAAAUUGCAAGGAGUCAUUACAUCCACUAUCACUAGAGGCGGAUUCUACAAAUUCGGAUUUAAAAGCAUUAUUAAAAUAUGUCAUUGAUUCGCUGCUCCUGGCCCCAGGAUGCAUGCACCCAGAGCUUGUCUUUCCUUCCAUACAAAGUAAUGCAGCCGCGAAGGCUGCGCUGUCCGUCCAUUCACUCAGAUCCCAGAGAAACACUGCGGAGGUCGGAGGCAGAGCUGCAAUCGGCACCAGAGCGCCCUCCAGUCGCGGGCGAUGCAAAGAAUGCCUCCCCACCCCCCGGCCCUUGCAAACUGCGAGGCCGAGGCGGCCUCGGCCUACAAUGAAAACAAACCGCCCACCCUCCAACCCCCGCGCUCACACAACAAAUCGAGAUCGCCGAACCCUUCCGCGCCAGCAAAAGACGGAUGAGGAAAACCCAGUGCAGGGCUCGGAAAUUCACUCACCAGGAGUACGCCUGCUCCGCCAUGGCAGCGCCGAGUGCGAGAGGGCUGUCGUAUGGGAUAAGGGAUGACUUCUACCUCUUUGAAUGAAGUUGACUUGAAGGAACUGUGGAACUGGGAGGACAUAUAGUAUGUCAGUCUUUUUUAACAAAGGCAAUGAAGGUGCAGUUACCUGUUGCAAUUAAACAGGGGACUGCAUGCAUCUGAACUCAUCACUGAACCGAUCACUGAACACAACAUAUGGACUCACUUUCAAUGCCUCUACAACUCAUGUUCUCUGCAUUAAUUAACUAUCGAGAUAUUUAUUUAUUAUUAUUUGCUUUUUUUGUAUUUGCACAAUUGCCUUCUUUCGCACAUUGGUUGCUUGUCAGUCUUCGUGUAGUUUCUCAUUGAUACUAGUGUAUUUCUUUGUUCUACUGUGAAUGCCUGCAAAAAAUGAAUCUCGGGGUAGUAUAAACAUACAUGGAUAAUAAAUUUACAAAAUAAUAAGCUUUGAACUUUGAUCACAAUUAAAUGAAAUUCUCUA